GAUGAACGCUGGCGGUAUGCCUAAUACAUGCAAGUCGAGCGAACGGACGAGGAGCUUGCCUCUCUGAUGUUAGCGGCGGACGGGUGAGUAAAACGUGGAUAACAUACCUAUUAUACUGGGAUAACUUCGGGAAAACGGAGCUCAAACAGGACAAUAUUUUGCACCGCAUGGUCCAAAAGUGAGAGACGGUCUUGCUGACACUAUUAGCAGGCUCCGCGCUGCCUUAGUUAGGUGGUAAGGUCACGCCUUACCAAGGCAACGAAGCGUAGCCGAGCUGAGAGGGUGAUCGGCCACACUGGAACUGAGACGCGGUCCGGACCCCUACGGGAGGCAGCAGUGGGGAAUCUACCACUGUGGGCGGAAGCCUGGCGGGGCAACGCCGCGUGGGUGAUGGAGGUCUUCUGUUCUUAAUACUCUGUUAUUAGGGAAGAACAUAUGUGUAAGUAACUUUGCACAUCUUGACGGUACCGAAUCAGAAAGCCACGGCUAACUACGUG
rnacentral:rRNA from 1 species